rnacentral:rRNA from 1 species
UACGGGGGGAGCAAGCGUUGUUCGGAUUUACUGGGCGUAAAGGGCGCGUAGGCGGCCAGCACAAGUCAGUUGUGAAAUCUCCGAGCUUAACUCGGAAAGGUCAACUGAUACUGUGCGGCUAGAGUGCGGAAGGGGCAACUGGAAUUCUUGGUGUAGCGGUGAAAUGCGUAGAUAUUCGGAGGAACACCAGUGGCGAAGGCGGCUCACUGGUCCAUUACUGACGCUGAGGUGCGAAAGCGUGGGGAGCAAACAGG